UACACUACGAAAUGAUUCAUGUGGUUAGUUUGUAAAAAUUAAAAUAAACCACAUUUUCAGCAUAAAAAUGUUAAGUUUGUAAUAUGUACUUGUAUUGGUGAGUUGAUAACUCAUUUUAAUGAGUCUUUCAAAAUUAAAAUAAAAAACUGUCAACUUAAUUAUAUAUCGAUUUUGAGUAAACACUUUUACCUUCACAUACUGUAACAACAGAAAAAUAUUAAGUUAGUGAAACUUGUAUAUCUAGUGAGCAUCCUUUAAAAGCUGAGUAAAGGCUGAAUUUGCCCGAACUUGUUUUGCUGCCAGAGCGGGACAACUAGGAGCCGGAGAAACAGGAGAAUAUUUUUGCUUUGUUUUAAUAUCAGCAGCUACCAACUGUAUCUGUCUAAAUGUAUCUAAAUCGAUGUUGUCACACACUAAACUGAAAAAAAACGUUUGACCUAAGCUAAUUCAUCGAUUCUAAAGUUAAUAGGCUUUUAGCUAGCUAGUGUGUUCAAAAUAGACUUUAUGUUUUGUUUUACAGUGGCUGAAUGAUGUUAAUUCACAUGGAAUGGAAGUCCUGCAUGACCUGGAUGUAUCCAGAGCCUGUGCCCUGCUAAUGGGGCUGAUAUAUGCACUCAACCUCAGCUACCCAAAGGAACUAAAAAAUACUUUUGAGAUGUUUCAGAAAAUAAUUCUUGAGCUGGAUGGUCUGAAAGCUAGCUCGAAGAUGGUGUGUUUGUAGGCGAAACUCGUGUGAUUUACAAGAGAUGUAUGAGAACGAAGAUGGAUCUGUGCCAGCCACGUUUGACAUCCUGUUUAUGAUUGGCUGGAAGCCUCAUGAGUCACAGGCAAAACCCAGCGAAUAGAGGUUCGGCAACCAGGUCCUUUGGAGAUUUGUCAAAAAUCAGCCGAACUCCGACAGCCAACAAAACAGACAAAUCCAGCACUAGCGUUAGCUGACUCAAACCAGCUCAUCAACAUGAAUAUAGAAAGAGUGUUGCUUAAUAAUGAUAUGUACAUAAAAACUAUUGUACUGUAUGUAAAAUGGAGAAUGAAUGACCAGUCAUAUAGGAUUUUUUUUUAUUUAAUGUUUUGAACAGAUCAGAAUUUCCUCAAUGCUAAAAUAAAAUGUUUUGCUAAA